UACGAAAGGGGCUAGCGUUGUUCGGAAUUACUGGGCGUAAAGCACACUUAGGCGGCCUUGUAAGUUGGGGGUGAAAUCCCGGAGCUCAACUACGGAACUGCCUCCAAAACUACAAAGCUCGAGGAUGUGAGAGGAGAGUGGAAUUCCGAGUGUAGAGGUGAAAUUCGUAGAUAUUCGGAAGAACACCAGUGGCGAAGGCGACUCUCUGGCACAUUUCUGACGCUGAGGUGCGAAAGCGUGGGGAGCAAACAGG
rnacentral:rRNA from 1 species